UUGUAGCUCAGUUGGUGGAGCACGGGUCUUAUGAGCCCGGGGUCGUGGGUUCGAGU
rnacentral:tRNA from 11 species